UCGACCUCAGAUCAGGUAGGAAAUACCCGCUGGAACUUAACAAUAUUAA
rnacentral:rRNA from 1 species